CCACCGGGAGUUCUCAUCCAUCCCGCACCCGGCAGCCCCAUAAGCUCGCUCCACUUAGAAGAGACACGGAUAGAAGAGCCGCCGCGUGGGGGCACAGCGACAAGAAGCCACCCCGCAGGACAAGGAGACGGAAAUCCCCUACCUACACGGACCCGUCGCAGGCGGCCCUGCAAUCGACAGUAUGACGAGUCUAACACGAAAGGAACACUUGGAGAAAAAACGACGAAGCAAAUACUACAGCUCCUGGCCCCCGCGUCGUCCUCCCCAGGGCGACUCGGGCGGCGGCGCAUCUCGCCACCACAGCGGCCGCCCCCCUGCUUCCCCCCUCCUCGCCGCCGCCCGUUAGCCUCCGCCGGGCAAAGC